UCGGUGAUCAGCCAAUGAUCGAAAAAUAAAAAGAAACGGGCGGAUCCCCUAUUUUUCAAAUUCUUUAAAUUUUCUGCCGGUCGAAUCUCAUCGUCGGCCAUCCUUGGCUCUACCACCGUCUCCACCUGCUGCCGGACAUUCGGUCAUGCUGCCAUCCCUCACCGGAGCCAAGCUGGAGCCCCCUCAUCCAUCCUCUGUUCGGCCCA
rnacentral:lncRNA from 1 species